GCUGGGCAUGGGGCAGCGUGCCUGUAAUCCCAGGGUUUCGGGAAGCUGAGGCAGGAGAAUUGCAAGUUCAAGGCCAGCCUCAGCAAUUAAACCAAACCCUGUUUCAA
rnacentral:sRNA from 1 species